CAGCAGCCGCGGUAAAACGGAGGGUGCAAGCGUUACUCGGAAUCACUGGGCGUAAAGGACGCGUAGGCGGAUUAUCAAGUCUCUUGUGAAAUCUAACGGCUUAACCGUUAAACUGCUUGGGAAACUGAUAAUCUAGAGUAAGGGAGAGGCAGAUGGAAUUCUUGGUGUAGGGGUAAAAUCCGUAGAUAUCAAGAAGAAUACCUAUUGCGAAGGCGAUCUGCUGGAACUUAACUGACGCUAAUGCGUGAAAGCGUGGGGAGCAAACAGGAUUAGAUACCCGAGUAGUCCCUGUCUCUUAUAC
rnacentral:rRNA from 1 species